UAUCAGUUCCUGCACAACCUCCACUUAAUAACAUCAUUUUCUCAGUAUUAUUUCUUAAGAGGUCACAAGAGGAGAGUCCCCUCCCUGUUGUAUCCUGUGACUAUAGCACUGCUUAUGAUACCAAUCACUUGUUAUCUGGUGGUCCUGAUUUCUCUGUUAGAUUGUGGGACCUCUUCAAAGGAAUAUUGUUCCACACUCUUGCAGUUCAUGGUGGGGUGGUCAGUAGCAUUGUAGCAUGUCCUCCUCAUAUUAAUCUCACCUAGACUCCUAGUAUCAUGCCUUCAUGCAUGGAACCUUGACAACACACCGGACAAGUUAGUAU